UACGUAGGGUGCAAGCGUUGUCCGGAAUUAUUGGGCGUAAAGAGCUCGUAGGCGGUCUGUCGCGUCUGCUGUGAAAACUCGGGGCUUAACCCCGGGCCUGCAGUGGGUACGGGCAGACUAGAGUGCGGUAGGGGAGACUGGAAUUCCUGGUGUAGCGGUGAAAUGCGCAGAUAUCAGGAGGAACACCGGUGGCGAAGGCGGGUCUCUGGGCCGUAACUGACGCUGAGGAGCGAAAGCAUGGGGGAGCAAACAGG
rnacentral:rRNA from 1 species